GUAGGAGGCGAGCGUUAUCCGGAUUUACUGGGCGUAAAGCGUGUGCAGGCGGUUUGGUAAGUCGGACGUGAAAGCUCCCGGCUCAACUGGGAGAGGCCGUUCGAUACUGCCAGACUAGAGGGCAGCAGAGGGAGGUGGAAUUCAGGGUGUAGCGGUGAAAUGCGUAGAUAUCCUGAGGAACACCAGUGGCGAAAGCGGCCUCCUGGACUGUCCCUGACGCUAAGACACGAAAGCUAGGGGGAGCAAACGGGAUUAGAAACCCCGGUAGUCCUGGCCGUAAACGAUGCAGACUUGGUGUUGGUGGUGUAAAAAUCAUCAGUGCCGUAGCUAACGCGAUAAGUCUGCCGCCUGGGACUACGACCGCAAGGUUA
rnacentral:rRNA from 1 species